rnacentral:rRNA from 1 species
GAAUCAUAAUGGCCGAAAAUCUAAGGUUUCUUGGGGAAGGUUCGUCCGCCCAAGGUUAGUCGGGAGCUAAGCUCAGGCCGAAAGGCGUAGGCGAUGCACAUACGGUAGAAAUUCCGUAACCACCGAACAUUUAAGCUAGAGGGACGCUUUCUUUAAGGUUAUCCCGGGCGAUGGUUGCCCCGGGCGUAAGGGACCGAAAUAUAGUAGGGAAGUAACUGGCGAGAGAGACGAGAAAAGCUCUAGUGUAUACUAAGGUGCCCGUACCGCAAACCGACACAGGUAGAUGGGAUGAGUAUUCUAAGGCCAACGGGAGAAGGGUUGUUAAGGAACUCGGCAAAUUGGCCCCGUAACUUCGGGAUAAGGGGCGCCUGCGAGAGCAGGCCGCAGUGAAAAGGCCCAAGCGACUGUUUAGCAAAAACACAGCUCUCUGCUAAAUCGAAAGAUGACGUAUAGGGGGUGACGCCUGCCCGGUGCUGGAAGGUUAAGGGGAGUGCUUAGCGCAAGCGAAGGUGCGAACUUAAGCCCCAGUAAACGGCGGCCGUAACUAUAACGGUCCUAAGGUAGCGAAAUUCCUUGUCAGGUAAGUUCUGACCCGCACGAAUGGCGUAACGAUUUGGGCACUGUCUCAACAGCCCGCCCGGCGAAAUUGUAGUACCGGUGAAGAUGCCGGUUUCCCGCAACUAGACGGAAAGACCCCAUGGAGCUUCACUGUAGCUUGAUAUUGGAUCUCGGUAUUCCAUGUACAGGAUAGGUGGGAGGCUAGGAAGCGAGCGCGCCAGCGUUCGUGGAGCCAACCUUGGGAUACCACUCUUGGGAUAUUGGGAUUCUAACCUGCGACCAUGAAUCUGGUCGGGGGACACUGUCAGGUGGGCAGUUUGACUGGGGCGGUCGCCUCCAAAAGAGUAACGGAGGCGCUCAAAGGUUCGUUCAGCACGGAUGGAAAUCGUGCACUGAGUGUAAACGCAUAAACGAGCCUAACUGCGAGAAUGACGGUUCGAGCAGUAACGAAAGUUGGAGUUAGUGAUCCGGCGGUAUGUGAAUGGAAAUGCCGUCGCUCAACGGAUAAAAGCUACCCUGGGGAUAACAGGCUGAUCUCCCCCAAGAGUCCACAUCGACGGGGAGGUUUGGCACCUCGAUGUCGGCUCAUCGCAUCCUGGGGCUGUAUUCGGUCCCAAGGGUUUGGCUGUUCGCCAAUUAAAGCGGUACGCGAGCUGGGUUCAGAACGUCGUGAGACAGUUCGGUCCCUAUCUGUUGCGGGCGCAGGAAUAUUGAGAGGAGCUGUCCUUAGUACGAGAGGACCGGGAUGGACGUACCGCUGGUGCACCAGUUGUUCUGCCAAGGGCAUAGCUGGGUAGCUAAGUACGGACGAGAUAAACGCUGAAGGCAUCUAAGCGUGAAACUCCCCUCGAGAUAAGUGUUCCCAUCCUUCGGGAGUAAGGCCCCUUGUAGACUACAAGGUUGAUAGGUCAGGAGUGGAAGUGCAGUAAUGUAUGGAGCGGACUGAUACUAAUAGGCCGAGGGCUUGACCUU